rnacentral:rRNA from 1 species
UACGUAGGGGGCAAGCGUUGUCCGGAAUCAUUGGGCGUAAAGAGCGCGUAGGCGGUCCGGUAAGUCCGCUCUGAAAGUCCGGGGCUCAACCCCGGGAGGCGGGCGGAUACUGUCGGGCUAGAGUCCGGAAGAGGCGAGUGGAAUUCCUGGUGUAGCGGUGGAAUGCGCAGAUAUCAGGAGGAACACCAAUAGCGAAGGCAGCUCGCUGGGACGGUACUGACGCUGAGGCGCGAAAGCGUGGGGAGCGAACAGG